UGCCCCAUGGCUGAGUUGGUUACAGCGUCCGACUGUUAUCUGCGCUCCAGUGGAAAGUCAUCGGAAGGUCGUGAGUUCGAGCCUCACUGGGGCAG